rnacentral:hammerhead_ribozyme from 1 species
GUACUGAUGAAGAGUCCCAAACUAGGACGAAACAGCUGUUGAGUAC